rnacentral:rRNA from 1 species
GAUCAUGGCUCAGGAUGAACGCUAGCGGCAGGCUUAACACAUGCAAGUCGAGGGGCAGCGAGAUCAGUGCUUGCACUGAUUGUCGGCGACCGGCGCACGGGUGCGUAACGCGUAUGCAACCUACCCAUUACAGGGGGAUAACACUGAGAAAUCGGUACUAAUACCCCAUAACAUCCAGGGAGGCAUCUUCUUGGGUUGAAAACUCCGGUGGUAAUGGAUGGGCAUGCGUUGUAUUAGUUAGUUGGUGGGGUAACGGCUCACCAAGACAACGAUACAUAGGGGGACUGAGAGGUUAACCCCCCACAUUGGUACUGAGACACGGACCAAACUCCUACGGGAGGCAGCAGUGAGGAAUAUUGGUCAAUGGACGCAAGUCUGAACCAGCCAUGCCGCGUGCAGGAAGACGGCUCUAUGAGUUGUAAACUGCUUUUGUACGAGGGUAAACGCAGAUACGUGUAUCUGUCUGAAAGUAUCGUACGAAUAAGGAUCGGCUAACUCCGUGCCAGCAGCCGCGGUAAUACGGAGGAUUCAAGCGUUAUCCGGAUUUAUUGGGUUUAAAGGGUGCGUAGGCGGUCGGAUAAGUUAGAGGUGAAAUCCCGAGGCUCAACUUCGGAAUUGCCUCUGAUACUGUUCGGCUAGAGAGUAGUUGCGGUAGGCGGAAUGUAUGGUGUAGCGGUGAAAUGCUUAGAGAUCAUACAGAACACCGAUUGCGAAGGCAGCUUACCAAGCUACUUCUGACGUUGAGGCACGAAAGCGGGGGAGCAAACAGGAUUAGAUACCCUGGUAGUCCACGCAGUAAACGAUGAUAACUCGUUGUCGGCGAUACAAUGUCGGUGACUAAGCGAAAGCGAUAAGUAUUCCACCUGGGGAGUACGUUCGCAAGAAUGAAACUCAAAGGAAUUGACGGGGGCCCGCACAAGCGGAGGAACAUGUGGUUUAAUUCGAUGAUACGCAGGAACCUUACCCGGGCUUGAAAGUUAGUGACGGAUCUUGAAAGAGGUCUUCCCUUCGGGGCACGAAACUAGGUGCUGCAUGGUUGUCGUCAGCUCGUGCCGUGAGGUGUCGGGUUAAGUCCCAUAACGAGCGCAACCCCUACCGUUAGUUGCCAGCAGGUCAAGCUGGGCACUCUGACGGGACUGCCGGUGUAAGCCGAGAGGAAGGUGGGGAUGACGUCAAAUCAGCACGGCCCUUACGUCCGGGGCUACACACGUGUUACAAUGGCAGGUACAGAGGGCAGCUACCCAGCGAUGGGAUGCGAAUCUCGAAAGCCUGUCUCAGUUCGGAUUGGAGGCUGAAACCCGCCUCCAUGAAGUUGGAUUCGCUAGUAAUCGCGCAUCAGCCAUGGCGCGGUGAAUACGUUCCCGGGCCUUGUACACACCGCCCGUCAAGCCAUGGAAGCUGGGGGUGCCUGAAGUUCGUGACCGGAAGGAGCGACCUAGGGCAAAACCGGUGACUGGGGCUAAGUCGUAACAAGGU